UGAAGAGAAGAGAGUUUAACCCAGUUCUCAUGAAUAAUUAUCUAUCAACAACAUUGUUCAAAAGAGUUAAAGCACCCUCAGUUGUCCGUCAACGAAAUCCUCGAGUCCUGUCGUCUUUAUUAUAGAGCCCACUGUCCGGGUGAAUUAUAUAAUGAAGAUAACUUUCGUGAUGACUGCGUCAGCCUUUAGGUGUCACUACUGCAUUCAUAAAAAAGAUGGAAGGAUGACUCCAUGCAGUCCUUGCAGAAAGAGCAGAGCCUCCUCUCCGUUUCAUCUUUUUUCGACUUGUUGGUGAAUACCGUUGACAGGGCGAGACUAUAUCUUUGCCAUCGCUCUCUUGAAUCGGUGAAUUGAUUUCUCAUGACCGAUUUCCCUCUCACUUUAUCCUUGUCCGUUUUAUUCAGCUUUUGGAGUCGUUAGGAAACUAAAAGAAUUGGGGGGGUUGAUACUUUCAUUUUCACGAGCUCCUUUCGAACAUUUUGUAUAUUAAGUGCCUCCAACGCAAUGUUAAAUGGGGUGUGAUCUAAUAUUAAUGGCCUCAAGGCUAAAAAUAAAUACUUGCUAAACUAACAUAAGGCUAAUGUAUCUUUUCAGCCUCCUAGCACGUUGGCCACGAUUUGACCACAUCAAUCACAAUAGACGGCAUUUCUUUUUAAGUUGUAAUAUAAUAUUAAUUCUUUACUGUUAGCUAUAAUAUUAAGCAAUGGGAAAAAUAUGUAACAAAUAUUUGCUUCUAAAUUUAAACCUUCAUUUUACUUGACUUUAGUAUGAUUUGUCGCAUUUUGGAGGAACUUUAUUCAAGAUAGCUUAAUAAAUAUUUUAUUUCUCGAA
rnacentral:lncRNA from 1 species